UACAACACUUGUUCCCAUACAAUUACCGAAGUUAAGCAAUGUCAAGCCUGGGCAGUACCUAAAUGGCUGGCCUCUUGGGAAUACCAAGAUGCUGUA